rnacentral:rRNA from 1 species
AGCCUUAGGAAAUUAAUCUAAGGUUAAACCUGCCCAAUGUUAAUCUUUAUCAAUGGCCGCGGUACUUUGACCGUGCUAAGGUAGCGCAAUCAAUUGGCUUUUAAUUGAAGCCACGUAUGAAUGGAAUCACGGGGUUUAGCUGUCUCUUGGUUAAUUUAUCGAAAUUACUAUUUAGGUGAAAAAGCCUAAAAGAAGAAAAAAGACGAGAAGACCCUUAGAGUUUUUCUAAAAUUAGAAUUUUUCUAAAACAGUUUAGUUGGGGCAACAUAGGAACAUUAUAAAAAUCUUAACCUCCUGUAAAAUACCUACCGAUAUUGAUAAAUUUGAAUAAACUACCUUAGGGAUAACAGCAUAAUUUUAUAAAUAAGUUUGUGACCUCGAUGUUGGACUAGGAAACUGAAAGGCUAGCCGCCUUUUAGGAAAGUUCUGUUCGAACUAUUAUUCCUCCGU